CCCUUAGACGUUCUGGGCCGCACGCGCGCUACACUGACCAGUGCAACAAGCAUCCGUCCUUGGCCGACAGGCCCGGGCAAUCUUUGAACGCUGGUCGUGAUGGGGAUAGACUUUUGCAAUUUUUGGUCUUCAACGAGGAAUUCCUAGUAAACGCAAGUCAUCAACUUGCAUUGAUUACGUCCCUGCCCUUUGUACACACCGCCCGCCGCACCUACCGAUUGAAUGGUCCGGUGAAGCCUCCGGAUUGGCGCGCACCUCGGUGCCGCCGAGAAGUUGGCUAAACCUUACCAUUUAGAGGAAGGUGAAGUCGUAACA
rnacentral:rRNA from 1 species